rnacentral:rRNA from 1 species
AUUGAACGCUGGCGGCAGGCUUAACACAUGCAAGUCGAACGAGUGGCGGACGUGUGAGUAAUGCUUGGGAAUCUAGCUUAUGGAGGGGGAUAACUACGGGAAACUGUAGCCAAUACCGCGUACCAUAGGAUGAGCCCAAGUGGGAUUAGCUAGUUGGUGGGGUAAAGGCUAACCUAGGCGACGAUCUCUAGCUGGUCUGAGAGGAUGAUCAGCAACACUGGGACUGAUACACGGCCCAGACUCCUAGGGGAGGCAGCAGUGGGGAAUAGUGCACAAUGGGCGAAAGCCUGAUGCAGCCAUGCCGCGUGUAUGAAGAAGGCCUUAGGGUUGUAAAGUACUUUCAGCGGGGAGGCGUUACCCGCAGAAGAAGCACCGGCUAACUCCGUGCCAGCAGCCGCGGUAAUAC